UAGAGUUUGAUCCUGGCUCUAGUGAACGCUGGCGGCGUGCUUAACACAUGCAAGUCGAACGAGAACGGAUUAUAGCUUGCUAUAAUUGUCAGCUAAGUGGCGCACGGGUGAGUAAUGUAUAGAUAACCUGCCCUCUAGAAAGGAAUAACAGAUGGAAACGUCUGCUAAUGCCCUAUAUGCCUUUAAUACAUAAGUAUGCAAGGGAAACGCUUUAGUGCUAGAGGAUGGGUCUGUAUGGUAUCAGCUUGUUGGUGAGGUAAUGGCUCACCAAGGCAAUGACGCCUAACUGGUUUGAGAGGAUGAUCAGUCACACUGGAACUGAGACACGGUCCAGACUCCUACGGGAGGCAGCAGUGGGGAAUAUUGCACAAUGGACGAAAGUCUGAUGCAUCAACGCCGCGUGGAGGAUGACACAUUUCGGUGCGUAAACUCCUUUUAUAUAUGAAGAUAAUGACGGUACUAUAUGAAUAAGCACCGGCUAACUCCGUGCCAGCAGCCGCGGUAAUACGGAGGGUGCUAGCGUUACUCGGAAUCACUGGGCGUAAAGAGCGUGUAGGCGGGUAUAUAAGUCAGAAGUGAAAUCCAAUAGCUUAACUAUUGAACUGCUUUUGA
rnacentral:rRNA from 1 species